CCUACGGGUGGCAGCAGUGAGGAAUAUUGGUCAAUGGGCGAGAGUCUGAACCAGCCAAGUAGCGUGAAGGAUGACUGCCCUAUGGGUUGUAAACUUCUUUUAUAAGGGAAUAAAAUGUGCCACGUGUGGCAUUUUGUAUGUACCCUAUGAAUAAGGAUCGGCGAACUCCGUGCCAGCAGCCGCGGUAAUACGGAGGAUCCGAACGUUAUCCGGAUUUAUUGGGUUUAAAGGGAGCGUAGGUGGGUUGUUAAGUCAGUUGUGAAAGUUUGCGGCUCAACCGUAAAAUUGCAGUUGAAACUGGCAGUCUUGAGUACAGUAGAGGUAGGCGGAAUUCGUGGUGUAGCGGUGAAAUGCUUAGAUAUCACGAAGAACUCCGAUUGCGAAGGCAGCUUACUAGACUGCCACUGACACUGAGGCUCGAAAGUGUGGGUAUCAAACAGGAUUAGAUACCCUGGUAGUC
rnacentral:rRNA from 1 species